CCUAUCUCCUGGCUAUGUAAAUAACUUGAUCUAUUAAAUUUUCAUUAAUUUUUUUAGGAAGAAAGAAGAUAGAUUUCAUGUUAUUGAAUUUGCACGGGAUAUGAAAAAUAUGAAAUUUAGUUGCUGAUUUGGAUGAUGGAACCAAACUCAAAGGAAUUUGAUCAGCUGGUGUCACAUACUUACUAUCUCUCAAGACAAACUGUAAUUGGAAUCUUAUCUACUUUAUCAUGAAGAAUGGAGACUUUGGAAUAUUAAACACAAAAUAUUUCAGGAACAAUUCUUCACGGGUUUUAUUUGUUACUUGGAAUGUUUCAAAUCCUUUUAACAACAUGGCAGGCAUCUUAAGACGAAAAUGUCGUACUUUGCUAUGGGUUUCCAGCUUUUGGAGGAAGAGGUGGGGAUGACUUACAUAAUCCUUCUGGUUCAUAUUUUGUUCAAAUUUAUCAUGUAUCUAAUUUUGGUCACUGAAGAUUCAUCAAACACCUAUUCUAUUUCAAGCUGAGGUUGUUUUUACUUUAUUUAAAUACUUUGUGCCUCACUAUCCCUUAAUAUGUUAAAAAUUAAAAUAAUUUUACUACUAAUAACAAUAAAUUAUUUAGUUCAUGCUACA
rnacentral:lncRNA from 1 species